UGCGUCAUUUGUCGGGCGAUCAUCGUAACAUCGACUAACAAGCGAAGCUCCGACGCAUUUGCUCGGCCAGCCAGCUAGCUGUUUAACAUUCCGAGAACGUAUAUUCUAAUGUCCUCCAUCCGUCCAUCAAAUUUCACAUUUUCCCGCACACCGAGCAUCGAACGUUGGUUCAUCUGUUCUCAUGGCCGAGCGGCACGAAAUUUUUCACGGUCGGCCGUGAAUACACUUGCGUCACCGUACAAACGCAUGCGCGCGAUGACUUUCAAUAGGAGACGCCAGAAAAUCGAUGGAAAUUGGAUAAACACACGGCUCCCGCGAUAAUAGACGAUCGCAGUGCGCCAAGUGUUUCUCGUACUCACCGAACGGAACUUAAAUCAUCGACUGCCCGCAACGGAACGAUACUCACCUGAAACAAGAGAAACAGGAAAACUGUUAUUGUUCGCGGGUAACUCGUUACGAAAUUGCGGUCCCGCGACCGGGCAUUAUCCUUUCCUCAGUUAGCCGUAAUUGAACGAGGUGUGACUCAAUUGCGUCUAACAUCGGGAAAUUGCGUGGAACAGGAUCGACGAAUGGCAUGUAAAGUCAGUUCAGAUCUGCGUAAGACACGUUCAUAUCGAAAUCUAAAUGAGUUUUAGAGUAUCGUGGAAUAAUCUUCCUCGGAGAUUAGCCCGAUCAAUCCAUCAUCGUGCAUGGGGAAUCAAGGAAAUCCUCGGUGAACAUGAUGCGCCAGCCUUUCCGGAAAUUUUUCGCGCGACUGAGAACGUUGAUUGCAAUGUUUCCAGCCGGCCACUUUCCGGAAGUGGAGGCGCUCCACGCUCAGAAAUUAUAUUUAAUAACCGGCCGCUGUUUACGCUUGAUCCUUGAACCUGUUGACGUGCUUCACGCAUUGUCGUCCUUGCGUUUCACUUCGAGGAGGAAAUAAUUCGACAGCGACCAAUUAUGUGACAGUACGACCGACCAACAAGUUCGUGGAGACGUUCAGUAACGUGUGGAUGCUUAAACUAUGAUAUUUUACAGAACCAGGAAGUUGUAUGGUGGUCACAUCAAUAGGAAGGUUAGUCACCAUCAACAGUUGAAUGUUAAUGUAGUUAGCAUUAAAUUGUGAAUUUUGAAUAAAGAUUACUGUUGAGUUGUAUGUUGCAAAUGAAAAGGUUACUUUUAGACUGUAAGUUGUAAAUGUCAAAUUGAUUGAUAAAUAUGAGAAAUAAAAUGCCAAAGGUAUUGAACGAAAAGGAAGUAAUAAGAUAUGUUAGUUUUUUUUAUUUAAUUGGGCAGUUAAUAUAAUAAUACUGCAGAAGGUAAAAUAUUCAAGGACUGAAUAUUAAAAUUCCAACGGGGACCAUUAGUCAAUUCCGUGGAUAUUGAACGUGACACUCAUGCAAAAGCGAAACGGGCUGUAAAUUGAAAAGAAAGACUGCAAGAAUGACUCCUUAUCCAGAUACUUAAUAUACCAGUAUACAAAGUGAAAUGUUGAAGCAUUGAAUUAUAAAAUAUUAACGAAGGUUACUAUUAAAAUUCAGUAAAGAUCGAGCAUUACAAAAAUGAUAAAAUUGCUAUUAAACGCGACGACUAUUGAGCCGAACAGAAAAAUAAAAAUUUAAGAUUGAACGCUAUCGAGAUCAAAGAUUUUUAAAUUAUUUACCGUGAUAUAUAAUGGAAUUCGUAUUAGUGUCGAAGUAAAUGCUUCCUACUACCAAUCGUAUAAGAAGAAGGAUAAAAUAAGGGAUCUUUCUCAUGCACUUGUUCAAACAUGGAACCGUUGAGUUGCAAAAUUACAACGGAAAUUAAUAUUGAAUUGCUUAAGAUUGGAUAUAAUAAGAAUCCAGAAAGUGAGCCGUUGACACAAUGAGUUAUCAGAUUCAGAAAUGACAGAUCGUUAAAAUUACCGUCUUCCAAGAUACACGAGGAACAAAAGAAUGUUCCCGAACGUGCAAUUUCAUCUCCGCCGGCAAUAAAUAAGCUUCCCGUGGAUUCUGAGCCGUUCGCGGCAAUUCUCACUUAUUACCAUAGAACGAGGCAAUCGAAUGGGAAGUAACAAGUUGUUUCGUUGUUUAAUUAGCACCUACCUCUGUUUGUUCGAUGACUUGAUUUAGAUUUCAAUGUUACUGGAAUAAUAAACUAUGAUUUCGGGCGCGAAGAUCAUAAGU